GACGAUCAGUAGCCGACCUGAGAGGGUGAUCGGCCACAUUGGAACUGAGACACGGUCCAAACUCCUACGGGAGGCAGCAGGGGGGAAUAUUGCACAAUGGGCGAAAGCCUGAUGCAGCAACGCCGCGGGAGUGAUGAAGGCUUUCGGGUCGUAAAACUCUGUCCUCAAGGAAGAUAAUGACGGUACUUGAGGAGGAAGCCCCGGCUAA
rnacentral:rRNA from 1 species